rnacentral:rRNA from 1 species
UACAGAGGGUGCAAGCGUUAAUCGGAAUUACUGGGCGUAAAGCGCGCGUAGGCGGCUGGCUAAGUCGGGUGUGAAAGCCCCGGGCUCAACCUGGGAACUGCAUUCGAUACUGGACGGCUAGAGUAUGAGAGAGGGAGGUAGAAUUCCACGUGUAGCGGUGAAAUGCGUAGAUAUGUGGAGGAAUACCGGUGGCGAAGGCGGCCUCCUGGUUCAAUACUGACGCUGAGGUGCGAAAGCGUGGGGAGCAAACAGG